rnacentral:lncRNA from 1 species
CAUUGUGGAAAUCCUGGGGUCCCAUUUUUCCCCAGAACCACUGGUAAUUGCUGAAAGAUAUAGGUUCCACAAAGAGACCAGAAAGAAGAUGAAACAGUUGUACAAUUUGUAGCAACUUUGAGAAAGCUUGCAGAACACUGUGAAUUUAAGGAGAUGUUAAAUGAUGCCCUGCGUGACAGGUUAGUGUGUGGCCUGUAUAGUGAAGCUAUACAGAAGCGCCUAUUGACAGAGGCUCAGCUUACCUUACAGAAGGCUGUUGAUAUUGCUGUCUCCAUGGAACUGGCUACAAAGGAGGCGCAAUACAUUGGUGCAUCCCCUAGGGUGCAUAAGAUGUCACAAGAACCUACCCACAAAACUGUGCGGAGUCAGGAAUGUUAUCGCUGUGGUAAGCCAGGUCAUCAGGCAUCAGAAUGCUGGUGUAAGGACCUGGUGUGUCGACACUGUGGCAAAAAGGGACACAUUGAGUGUGCCUGUAAACAAAAGAAAAAGAGGUCUGUGGUGUGGCCGACCAAAAGGGGAACCCUGCAUACCCUAGAGCAGACCCAGGAUGACCAAGGUGACACCUCAUUGCAAGAAGAAGUGCCACUGCACGUUUUGUCUUUGGCAGUGGGCUCACAUGAAUACUGGGUAACCCCGUUGUUGGAUGGCAAACCUAUACGCAUGGAACUGGACACCGGUGCAGCCGUCUCGCUGGUGUCCGAGACUGUGUAUAAAGAAAAGCUACAGCAUCUUCCGCUUAAGGCAACAAAAACUGUUCUGAAGACAUAUACGGGAGAAGCUGUGCCCAUGUUGGGCACUAUUGAUGUUAAGGUGGAGCUCAAUGGACAGGCUGCUAAAUUGCCACUGUUUGUGGUGAGAGGUAAUUACCCAGCCUUAAUGGGUAGGUCUUGGCUUGGGAAAAUUCAGCUGAACUGGGCAGAAGUGCACCGAAUGACUAAAGAAGAAACCGGUCUGACCACUAUACUAAGGAAACAUGCUGCUGUUUUUGGAGAGGAUCUGGGAAGUAUGAAGGGAAUCACUGUGACAUUGAACAUUAAACCUGAUAGUCCACCAAAAUAUCUGAAAGCCAGAACUGUGCCAUAUGCCAUCAGGCCA